GCAAGGAGAAAACAGCUUACUCAUUUCAGUCAGAGUUGAUAAUUGCAAAUGCAUCGGAGUCUGAUCGUGGUGAAUAUAAAUGUGUUGCUUGUACACCCAGUCCAAGCAGUUGCUUGGAUACAAUUUUAACUUUCACAGUGAAAGAAAAUCCAGAUUCUGUAAAAAAACCAGCCACUGAUGAGACCAAUUUGCAACAUGUGAAAAUUUGUGAGAAUGUGACGAUAGAGUGAAUAAUUACCGUAUGCACCUCAACAAAGGUUGCUUUGAAAUGAAUAGUGCCAAAUGAGAUGAGCAAUAUUUUAAUUCUUUUCUAGUUACUUCAUUGUGCCUUUAAUCCAUGGAGAGGGACUUGAGUAGAUACAAAUGGUGUAUUGACUGUUUAUAAAUUUAUAGUGAUGAAAGUGUUUUGAUGUAAUACAGUGUUUUGAUAUUUUGUACCUGUACUUGAUUUCCUAACAAACAGAGUGAACAUAUCACUGUAGAAGAAACAGAGAUAGAGCCUCCAGUGAGCUGUGGGCACCAUUUAACAACAGGAAGAAGACAAUUAAAAAUAUUUAAUGCAAAA